UACUUACAACAACGAUCCAUCGCCUGUAAAGAUCGCCUUCGGGUGGCGAAAUAACACUCCCGUAGCCUGCAAGGGAGAGCAAAUAUUGCGGCACAUCUGCACACUUUUGGAAGCAGAUAUCACUGGACAACAAACCU
rnacentral:sRNA from 1 species